rnacentral:misc_RNA from 1 species
GAAAUGCGAUAAGUAAUGUGAAUUGCAGAGCACAGUGAAUCAUCGAAUCUUUGAACGCACAUGGCGCCCGCCGGUAAUCCGGUGGGCAUGCCUGUCCGAGCGUCAUUUCAACCCUCAGAACCCCUCUCUCGGGAGGGCGUUACUGGUGUUGGGGAUCGAGCGCCCCCCGCGGCGCCCGUCCCUUAAAUCUAUUGGCGGCUCCGGAGUCUGUCUCCCCUGCGUAGUAUUGCAUCUCGCUUUGGUGACUUCCCCGGGCUGCUGUGGCCCUGCCACGAAACCCCCACUAGGUUGACCUCGGAUCAGGUAGGGAUACCCGCUGAACUUAA